ensembl:lncRNA
GAUACGUUCCUCAAUCAUGCGGAGAGGGCUGACGCACCAUGGUUCCCUGGUAGUAGGACCAUCGCAUGCAUGCUAGUGCAGCUAUGUGCUGAGCGUGUACUGGCUAUGCAGAAGUUGGUUAAAAGGGUGAUUGUUGAUUGUGAAUUCGAUUCAUUCGACUCCUCUACACACUUGCCAAUCUUCUGGCCAUCGAGACUUUAUUGCAGUUCAAUCAGGUUGAUUGUGAAUUCUCUUUCAUGGACAUCCGAGCAUCUCCAGCUAAAAGGAUGCCCCACGCUGUCUUGGCCAUCCUGACGAUAUGUGUGUGCAUUGCAAAUACGCUGGAUGUCAAUAGACUGGCUAGCCUCAAGAAGGAGAUCCAAGCUUUGGAGUUGAAGGCCAAUUCCCUGAAGGCACUCUACAACACUCAGCAGGAAGCGCUCGCGGACAGGAUAACGGACGCGACGUCGAACGCCACUCAAAGGGCUGCGCGCCAUUUGUCGGCACACGAGAAGCACCUUUUGAAGGCGGAGGAGUCGAACUCUGAGCAAAAAGCACAAUUUCAGCAGUUAACUAAAGACACGGAGCUGGUUUGGGAGAAAAUCCAGGGGGAAAUCAAGAGAGCCAAAAACUUAGUCCGUAUAAUCGAGGUGAUGAACCAGGAGUUAUAAUCACACCGUCGCGGCUGUUCGAGAGUGUUGAAUUAAAUAACAAAUUAUUAGUUGAUGCAGUGAGAUGCAUUAUUAUAUUCAGGGUUCGAGUUAUGACUCCAUCUCUGUGGGGGUCUCUUAAAGUUGUGGUCGGGUUACACCGAAUUCUGCGACCCACCGAAAAGUGUGGUCGCUGUUGCACAUUUUCUGCAACAUGCACGUUUGCAUUAUAACAAAAAAAUAAAUAAAACAUAAGAUCUCCCCCCACCGGUGGGUCUUUCUUUUCUUGAUACUAACAUUAAUUCUAAACAGAGUUUUACACAGUAGGCCUAGGCCUAGGCUAUAAUAGGAAAUGCUCAAAGGUAAAUCAGCGUAAUUGAACACUGACUGUAGCUUAGGGUAAAGAAGCAAUGGUGAAGGACCGUACUAAACGCCCUAUCAUUGUAUGGGUCUGUAAAAUGCUAAUCAAAUCAAAACAAAUCUCCUUUUCACACCCCUGUUGACAUGUAAAAGUAUAUGCCCUCCAUUGUCACAAUCGGUUGUAUUUACUUUGUUAUACAUAAUAUGCUGUAUGCAGUGUUGUGUGUACAGCGGCAAUAGGAUGUCCCACAUGUGACCUAGGAGAGGUCAAGUGAGCGCGCGUUUAAUAAUCGAUGGUCAGUUCCAGUCCAACAGCACUGAUGCCCCACUGUGUGUUAUUUCUACAUUCAUUAUAUUCGGCCUAGCACUGGGUAUGCACGCCUGGAUCGUUGAGAAAACCAUCUCUGCUAACAGCCCCUUUAAUAAAAAGGUAAUUGGGGGAGUUCUUAUUUUUUAUUUAUGUUUUUGUUAUGCCUCUACGCUUCAAACUCGUGCGUAUUGCAAAGAAUAUGCAACAGCGCCCCCUGGGGUUACACUUUUCGGUGGGUCGCAGAAUUCGGUGUAACACCUGUUAGUUGCGCUGAAAAAGACACCUUGUGAAGUUAUUUUUUCGUUUGGCAAGUAGCUGAUCAUUAUCGAAAAUAAGCCCCGCAGGUCGAAGCGAGAAACCUGCGUUUCGCGUCGGUGUCCGGACAGUCCGGUUCGCCCUGUCUGGGCUGGUUUUCCCGCACAGCAAAUAUCAGUGUACAUUGUACUCUAUGGGUGUACAUUUAACACUCAUUUCUGGGUAUAUAUAGGUCCAAGAGUUCAGUGUUCGCUGAACACUGUUAGAAGAGCAAAAUAUGUACUCCAAAUUUAGAGUUACAUUUGAACACUUUGAGAGUGCAAAUGUACUCUAUUAGUGGUACUUUUGGGCACUCAUUCAGUGCUUCCUUACACCUGCAGUGUAAACCUAGAACCCCAGAGAGAAAAAUAUGUACUCCAAGUCAGUGCUUUGUAGCACUUCGCAGAGCUGAUUAUUUAAUACUUCUAGAGUGAGAAUGUACUCUGACUGGUGUACAACCAACACCUUUGAGGUGAAUUAUCAACACUUCAUGAAUGAAUAGUCUACACAUUAGAUUCUUGCUGCUGUUGUUGUUACAGUGCAUACAUAUAUAAUAUAGUUAACAUUAUAGUUAAACUUUAAU